rnacentral:rRNA from 1 species
GACGAACGCUGGCGGCGUGCUUAACACAUGCAAGUCGAACGGUAAGGCCCUUCGGGGUACACGAGUGGCGAACGGGUGAGUAACACGUGGGUGAUCUGCCCUGCACUUCGGGAUAAGCCUGGGAAACUGGGUCUAAUACCGGAUAGGACCACUGCCUGCAUGGGUGGUGGUGGAAAGCUUUUGCGGUGUGGGAUGGGCCCGCGGCCUAUCAGCUUGUUGGUGGGGUGAUGGCCUACCAAGGCGACGACGGGUAGCCGGCCUGAGAGGGUGACCGGCCACACUGGGACUGAGACACGGCCCAGACUCCUACGGGAGGCAGCAGUGGGGAAGAUUGCACAAUGGGCGCAAGCCUGAUGCAGCAACGCCGCGUGAGGGAUGACGGCCUUCGGGUUGUAAACCUCUUUUAGUAGGGAAGAAGCGAAAGUGACGGUACCCGCAGAAAAAGCACCGGCUAACUACGUGCCAGCCGCCGCCGUAA